AAAUUGAAGAGUUUGAUCAUGGCUCAGAUUGAACGCUGGCGGCAGGCCUAACACAUGCAAGUCGAACGGUAACAGGAAGCAGCUUGCUGCUUCGCUGACGAGUGGCGGACGGGUGAGUAAUGUCUGGGAAACUGCCUGAUGGAGGGGGAUAACUACUGGAAACGGUAGCUAAUACCGCAUAACGUCGCAAGACCAAAGAGGGGGAGCUUCGGGCCUCUUGCCAUCGGAUGUGCCCAGAUGGGAU
rnacentral:rRNA from 1 species